GCCGGUGUAGCUGAGUUGGUACAGCAGGGUCCUUGUAAGACCAAGAUCGCAGGUUCGAGUCCUGUCAUCGGCU
rnacentral:tRNA from 1 species